GGGUUGUGAGGUUAAGCGACUAAGCGUACACGGUGGAUGCCCUGGCAGUCAGAGGCGAUGAAGGACGUGCUAAUCUGCGAUAAGCGUCGGUAAGGUGAUAUGAACCGUUAUAACCGGCGAUUUCCGAAUGGGGAAACCCAGUGUGUUUCGACACACUAUCAUUAACUGAAUCCAUAGGUUAAUGAGGCGAACCGGGGGAACUGAAACAUCUAAGUACCCCGAGGAAAAGAAAUCAACCGAGAUUCCCCCAGUAGCGGCGAGCGAACGGGGAGGAGCCCAGAGCCUGAAUCAGUGUGUGUGUUAGUGGAAGCGUCUGGAAAGGCGCGCGAUACAGGGUGACAGCCCCGUACACAAAAAUGCACAUGCUGUGAGCUCGAUGAGUAGGGCGGGACACGUGGUAUCCUGUCUGAAUAUGGGGGGACCAUCCUCCAAGGCUAAAUACUCCUGACUGACCGAUAGUGAACCAGUACCGUGAGGGAAAGGCGAAAAGAACCCCGGCGAGGGGAGUGAAAAAGAACCUGAAACCGUGUACGUACAAGCAGUGGGAGCCUCUUAAUGGGGUGACUGCGUACCUUUUGUAUAAUGGGUCAGCGACUUAUAUUCUGUAGCAAGGUUAACCGAAUAGGGGAGCCGAAGGGAAACCGAGUCUUAACUGGGCGUUAAGUUGCAGGGUAUAGACCCGAAACCCGGUGAUCUAGCCAUGGGCAGGUUGAAGGUUGGGUAACACUAACUGGAGGACCGAACCGACUAAUGUUGAAAAAUUAGCGGAUGACUUGUGGCUGGGGGUGAAAGGCCAAUCAAACCGGGAGAUAGCUGGUUCUCCCCGAAAGCUAUUUAGGUAGCGCCUCGUGAAUUCAUCUCCGGGGGUAGAGCACUGUUUCGGCAAGGGGGUCAUCCCGACUUACCAACCCGAUGCAAACUGCGAAUACCGGAGAAUGUUAUCACGGGAGACACACGGCGGGUGCUAACGUCCGUCGUGAAGAGGGAAACAACCCAGACCGCCAGCUAAGGUCCCAAAGUCAUGGUUAAGUGGGAAACGAUGUGGGAAGGCCCAGACAGCCAGGAUGUUGGCUUAGAAGCAGCCAUCAUUUAAAGAAAGCGUAAUAGCUCACUGGUCGAGUCGGCCUGCGCGGAAGAUGUAACGGGGCUAAACCAUGCACCGAAGCUGCGGCAGCGACACUAUGUGUUGUUGGGUAGGGGAGCGUUCUGUAAGCCUGUGAAGGUGUACUGUGAGGUAUGCUGGAGGUAUCAGAAGUGCGAAUGCUGACAUAAGUAACGAUAAAGCGGGUGAAAAGCCCGCUCGCCGGAAGACCAAGGGUUCCUGUCCAACGUUAAUCGGGGCAGGGUGAGUCGACCCCUAAGGCGAGGCCGAAAGGCGUAGUCGAUGGGAAACAGGUUAAUAUUCCUGUACUUGGUGUUACUGCGAAGGGGGGACGGAGAAGGCUAUGUUGGCCGGGCGACGGUUGUCCCGGUUUAAGCGUGUAGGCUGGUUUUCCAGGCAAAUCCGGAAAAUCAAGGCUGAGGCGUGAUGACGAGGCACUACGGUGCUGAAGCAACAAAUGCCCUGCUUCCAGGAAAAGCCUCUAAGCAUCAGGUAACAUCAAAUCGUACCCCAAACCGACACAGGUGGUCAGGUAGAGAAUACCAAGGCGCUUGAGAGAACUCGGGUGAAGGAACUAGGCAAAAUGGUGCCGUAACUUCGGGAGAAGGCACGCUGAUAUGUAGGUGAAGUCCCUUGCGGAUGGAGCUGAAAUCAGUCGAAGAUACCAGCUGGCUGCAACUGUUUAUUAAAAACACAGCACUGUGCAAACACGAAAGUGGACGUAUACGGUGUGACGCCUGCCCGGUGCCGGAAGGUUAAUUGAUGGGGUUAGCGGUAACGCGAAGCUCUUGAUCGAAGCCCCGGUAAACGGCGGCCGUAACUAUAACGGUCCUAAGGUAGCGAAAUUCCUUGUCGGGUAAGUUCCGACCUGCACGAAUGGCGUAAUGAUGGCCAGGCUGUCUCCACCCGAGACUCAGUGAAAUUGAACUCGCUGUGAAGAUGCAGUGUACCCGCGGCAAGACGGAAAGACCCCGUGAACCUUUACUAUAGCUUGACACUGAACAUUGAGCCUUGAUGUGUAGGAUAGGUGGGAGGCUUUGAAGUGUGGACGCCAGUCUGCAUGGAGCCGGCCUUGAAAUACCACCCUUUAAUGUUUGAUGUUCUAACGUUGGCCCCUGAUCGGGGUUGCGGACAGUGUCUGGUGGGUAGUUUGACUGGGGCGGUCUCCUCCUAAAGAGUAACGGAGGAGCACGAAGGUUGGCUAAUCCUGGUCGGACAUCAGGAGGUUAGUGCAAUGGCAUAAGCCAGCUUGACUGCGAGCGUGACGGCGCGAGCAGGUGCGAAAGCAGGUCAUAGUGAUCCGGUGGUUCUGAAUGGAAGGGCCAUCGCUCAACGGAUAAAAGGUACUCCGGGGAUAACAGGCUGAUACCGCCCAAGAGUUCAUAUCGACGGCGGUGUUUGGCACCUCGAUGUCGGCUCAUCACAUCCUGGGGCUGAAGUAGGUCCCAAGGGUAUGGCUGUUCGCCAUUUAAAGUGGUACGCGAGCUGGGUUUAGAACGUCGUGAGACAGUUCGGUCCCUAUCUGCCGUGGGCGCUGGAGAACUGAGGGGGGCUGCUCCUAGUACGAGAGGACCGGAGUGGACGCAUCACUGGUGUUCGGGUUGUCAUGCCAAUGGCACUGCCCGGUAGCUAAAUGCGGAAGAGAUAAGUGCUGAAAGCAUCUAAGCACGAAACUUGCCCCGAGAUGAGUUCUCCCUGACUCUUUAAGGGUCCUGAAGGAACGUUGAAGACGACGACGUUGAUAGGCCGGGUGUGUAAGCGCAGCGAUGCGUUGAGCUAACCGGUACUAAUGAACCGUGAGGCUUAACCUUACAACGCCGAAG
rnacentral:rRNA from 1 species